UCCUGGAAACGGGUGGUAAAUCCCGGAUGCUCCAAGUCUCUCGCAUGGUGGUUUGGGAAAGCUUUAUCGGUAUGGGAUGGGGUCGCGUCCUAUCAGGUAGUCGGCGGGGUAACGGCCCACCGAGCCUACGACGGGUAGCCGGCCUGAGAGGGCGACCGGCCACAUUGGGACUGAGAUACGGCCCAGACUCCUACGGGAGGCAGCAGUGGGGAAUAUUGCACAAUGGGCGCAAGCCUGAUGCAGCGACGCCGCGUGCGGGAUGACGGCCUUCGGGUUGUAAACCGCUUUUGAUCGGGAGCAAGCCUUCGGGUGAGUGUACCUUUCGAAUAAGCACCGGCUAACUACGUGCCAGCAGCCGCGGUAAUACGUAGGGUGCAAGCGUUAUCCGGAAUUAUUGGGCGUAAAGGGCUCGUAGGCGGUUCGUCGCGUCCGGUGUGAAAGUCCAUCGCUUAACGGUGGAUCCGCGCCGGGUACGGGCGGGCUUGAGUGCGGUAGGGGAGACUGGAAUUCCCGGUGUAACGGUGGAAUGUGUAGAUAUCGGGAAGAACACCAAUGGCGAAGGCAGGUCUCUGGGCCGUUACUGACGCUGAGGAGCGAAAGCGUGGGGAGCGAACAGGAUUAGAUACCCUGGUAGUCCACGCCGUAAACGGUGGAUGCUGGAUGUGGGGCCCGUUCCACGGGUUCCGUGUCGGAGCUAACGCGUUAAGCAUCCCGCCUGGGGAGUACGGCCGCAAGGCUAAAACUCAAAGAAAUUGACGGGGGCCCGCACAAGCGGCGGAGCAUGCGGAUUAAUUCGAUGCAACGCGAAGAACCUUACCUGGGCUUGACAUGUUCCCGACCGCUCCAGAGAUGGGGCUUCCCUUCGGGGCGGGUUCACAGGUGGUGCAUGGUCGUCGUCAGCUCGUGUCGUGAGAUGUUGGGUUAAGUCCCGCAACGAGCGCAACCCUCGCCCUGUGUUGCCAGCACAUGAUGGUGGGAACUCACGGGGGACCGCCGGGGUCAACUCGGAGGAAGGUGGGGAUGACGUCAGAUCAUCAUGCCCCUUACGUCCAGGGCUUCACGCAUGCUACAAUGGCCGGUACAACGGGAUGCGACACGGCGACGUGGAGCGGAUCCCUGAAAACCGGUCUCAGUUCGGAUUGGAGUCUGCAACCCGACUCCAUGAAGGCGGAGUCGCUAGUAAUCGCGAUCAGCA
rnacentral:rRNA from 1 species